rnacentral:rRNA from 1 species
AGUGAACGCUGGCGGUAGGCCUAACACAUGCAAGUCGAACGGCAGCACAGUAAGAGCUUGCUCUUACGGGUGGCGAGUGGCGGACGGGUGAGGAAUACAUCGGAGUCUACUUUUUCGUGGGGGAUAACGUAGGGAAACUUACGCUAAUACCGCAUACGACCUACGGGUGAAAGCAGGGGAUCUUCGGACCUUGCGCGAUUGAAUGAGCCGAUGUCGGAUUAGCUAGUUGGCGGGGUAAAGGCCCACCAAGGCGACGAUCCGUAGCUGGUCUGAGAGGAUGAUCAGCCACACCGGAACUGAGACACGGUCCAGACUCCUACGGGAGGCAGCAGUGGGGAAUAUUGGACAAUGGGCGCAAGCCUGAUCCAGCCAUACCGCGUGGGUGAAGAAGGCCUUCGGGUUGUAAAGCCCUUUUGUUGGGAAAGAAAAGCAGCAGGUUAAUACCCCGCUGUUCUGACGGUACCCAAAGAAUAAGCACCGGCUAACUUCGUG